rnacentral:rRNA from 1 species
AGGAUUAGAUACCCUGGUAGUCCACGCCCUAAACGAUGCGAACUGGAUGUUGGUCUCAACUCGGAGAUCAGUGUCGAAGCUAACGCGUUAAGUUCGCCGCCUGGGGAGUACGGUCGCAAGACUGAAACUCAAAGGAAUUGACGGGGGCCCGCACAAGCGGUGGAGUAUGUGGUUUAAUUCGAUGCAACGCGAAGAACCUUACCUGGCCUUGACAUGUCUGGGAUCCUGCAGAGAUGCGGGAGUGCCUUCGGGAAUCAGAACACAGGUGCUGCAUGGCUGUCGUCAGCUCGUGUCGUGAGAUGUUGGGUUAAGUCCCGCAACGAGCGCAACCCUUGUCCUUAGUUGCCAGCACGUAAUGGUGGGAACUCUAAGGAGACUGCCGGUGACAAACCGGAGGAAGGUGGGGAUGACGUCAAGUCCUCAUGGCCCUUACGGCCAGGGCUACACACGUACUACAAUGGUCGGUACAGAGGGUUGCAAUACCGCGAGGUGGAGCCAAUCCCAGAAAGCCGAUCCCAGUCCGGAUCGGAGUCUGCAACUCGACUCCGUGAAGUCGGAAUCGCUAGUAAUCGCGGAUCAGCUAUGCCGCGGUGAAUACGUUCCCGGGCCUUGUACACACCGCCCGUCACACCAUGGGAGUGAGUUGC